AUGGUUGAGGUUGAUUUCUGGAGCCCAUAUGAUAAAGCCAAGGGAAAACUUCACUCAGUUUGGAUAAAGAUGUGGGGAGUGCCUGACACUCUAAGGCACUACUUAGGGGUGUGUGAGAUUGGCUCUGCUUUAGGACCAGUAGUGGAGGUUGAUGUGGAGCACAUACACUCCCAGGAAGAAAUCAGGGUGAAGGUUGGAGAGAGUGACAUGCACAAAAUUCCAGUAGGGACUGAGAUUACCACUAAAGACCUUUUGCUAUAUGACAUAAACUUUGAGUUUGACUCAGUUGCUGAACAGGGAUGGUACAAGUUUGAUGAGGGGAACAAAAGGAAGAUGUUUGAAUAUCUAGAUCUUGAGAACUUUGAGUCACAAAGAGAGAAUGGCAUGCAAAAGAAAAGCAAACAAGUGGACACUAAAAAACAGGGCAUGAACCUGGGGCAUUUGGGUCUGAAACAUCUCCAAAAAAAAAACAAAGAGACAGCUGCAGUUACAGAAUUGCAAGAGAGGGAAGAGAGCCUGAUGAUCAGGCUACAAAAAGCAGAGGAACUGGCUGUUAGGCAGACUGCGCAACUAAUGUUGGAAGAGAAAAGGAGGAAAGAAUUGGAGCUUAUUAGGAAAACCCUUGAGAAGGAGGUUAAAAGACAGCAUGAGCUACUCCAGAUCAAUCUGAAAGGGGAUGAUGAUGUGAAAGGAUCACAAUCUGGAGAUAAAAGCAGCAAUGAAGAGGAAGAAGUAGAAGCCAUUGAUGAAGAUAUGGGAGUGGAGGACAAACAGGAAGAGGGGGGAGAUAUGAUAGAGCAAGAAUUGAUUGAUCAAGACAUUGGGCUGGGAUAUGUGGAGCCAGUGGAUUACACAGCUAGUCAAGACACAGACUCAUUUGAGACUAAGAUUAAAAAAGCUGGGAAGGGGGAGGCUGUACUGAAAGAUGAAGAGGAGCUGAGAAGAUGCCUUAGGUUAAAGGGAAAAGAAGAUCGUAACAUUACAAAACUGGCCAGGGAGAGGGCAGCAAAGAAAGAUAACUAUGGUGAGUUACCUUGUAUUGGAAGCUUUCCUAAAUCUAACAGUUUAUUGCAAAAGGUUGCUGAGGGGAAACACGAUAUGCUGCCUGAGGGAAAUGAGAUCAUUGACACUGGGAAACAUACCCUGGAAGAUUUACUAGACCAGGGAGAUGAGGAGGGAGAUAGAAAGGAUGAUGAGGAUUGGGAAAUAGUUAGAGAAUUUUUCUCAUCAAAAAAGGGGGGAAGAAGGACAAAACCACCAGAGGAGAUGGAGGUAACACCAGAUUCUGGGAAGACUGGUGGAUUGGAUCUGCACCACUUUGUAAAAAAAUUCCCAGUAAAUGAUCCUUGUAUACCUGUCAACUUACUACUCAAGAACUUAUAUGAUUGGAACAUCUUGCAGAAAACCCCCGUAAAAAAUAAGAUGAUGGAGGUAGGAGUGAAGCAGAUCGGCGACGUAGCUGAAGAAGUGUUCAAGGCAGUCCAUGGAUGGCAUCUGGAGACCAGAAGAAUUGUGGGAUAA
rnacentral:rRNA from 1 species